rnacentral:rRNA from 1 species
CAGUCGCCGCGGGAACACAGAGGGUGCGAGCGUUAAUCGGAUUUACUGGGCGUAAAGCGUGCGUAGGCGGCUUCUUAAGUCGGAUGUGAAAUCCCUGAGCUUAACUUAGGAAUUGCAUUCGAUACUGGGAAGCUAGAGUAUGGGAGAGGAUGGUAGAAUUCCAGGUGUAGCGGUGAAAUGCGUAGAGAUCUGGAGGAAUACCGAUGGCGAAGGCAGCCAUCUGGCCUAAUACUGACGCUGAGGUAAGAAAGCAUGGGGAGCAAACAGGAUUAGAUACCCCAGUAGUCCCUGUCUCUUAUAC